rnacentral:rRNA from 1 species
GACGGGUGAGUAACGCGUGGGUAACCUGCCCUGUACAGGGGGAGUAACAGUCAGAAAUGACUGCUAAUACCGCAUAAGACCACAGCACCGCAUGGUGCAGGGGUAAAAACUACCGGUGGUACAGGAUGGACCCGCGUCUGAUUAGCUGGUUGGUGAGGUAACGGCUCACCAAGGCGACGAUCAGUAGCCGGCUUGAGAGAGUGAACGGCCACAUUGGGACUGAGACACGGCCCAAACUCCUACGGGAGGCAGCAUG